rnacentral:SRP_RNA from 1 species
GCCGGGCACGGUGGUGUGUGCCUGUAGUCCCAGUUACUCGGGAGGCUGAGGUGGGAGGAUCGCUUGAGCCCAGGAGUUCUGGGCUGUAGUGCGCUAUGCCUAUUGGGUUUCCGCCCUAAGUUCGGCAUGAAUAUGGUGACCUCCCGGGAGCGGGGGACCACCAGGUUGCCUAAGGAGGGGUGAACCAGCCCAGGUCAGAAACGGAGCAGGUCAAAACUCCCGUGCUGAUCAGUAGUGGGAUUGCGCCUGUGAAUAGCCACUGCACUCCAGCAUGGGCAACCUAGCGAGACCCUGUCUCC